UUGUUGUUGGUUUUGUUGGCAAGAAAAUGGUUGGCAGGUUAUGUGCCGAACCUGAGGAAAAAAUGUGUAAAAGUGCAUGUGACUAAAACCAGAAAAAAAUAGAUCUCAGUGAAGUGGUUGGCGAAGUCCGUUGCAUAUAUCGUAUUUUGCACCUAUGCCGUCCACUUAACCUACGCAAUAGAUGGUUGUCCACUUCCACGUCCUCCCAUACCAAGUGCCGUUUUCCAGAUUAGGAUUCGGCACUUAGUCAUAUUUUAUAUAAAACCCGGUAUUAAACUGAAUUUAAUACCCCAGCCGUAAUUUAUAUAAUAACCCAGUCAUAAUUUAUAUAAACCCUAGUGUGUAAAUUAUAAAAACCCAGUGGUAGAAUUUUAAAUUAAUUUAAACUGUAACUUCACCACACAUAAAUGAGGGAUUAACGGCCAACCACCCAAAGCUCCACUUCGCAGCUGUGCUGGUCAGAUCAGCUGUCUGGACAACACAAACAGAUGAGCUGUUGUUAGCUGCAGACGCUCAUUGAGCAUCAGGAGAAUUGCAGGCUGUGAUUCUACUGCCGAAAACACCUGCGUCUGUCAGCCGUGCGUUCUUCAUUUACUAGUUGUUCCGCACUGGUGGUGGCAUCGAGGCCAAAUAUAUGCGUCACCCAGGAGGAAGGCGAACAGCUGGAUAGCAGCUUAUGUUUUUUUUUUCUGUUUGUUGAUUAUUGUUAGUUUACGUUGUUCUGUCCCAAUAUGCAUUUAUAAGUGAGAGUCAAUCAUCAGUGUUGUAAGUGUAGUAUGAUGUGGCGAGAAAGUUGAAACAACAACUUUUCUUGGGCACUCAUAAUACAAGUACCACGGUAUUGUUGUAUGAAAUAACAACUGCAAUCAUUUAAGAAUGCAUAUAAGGCACCAUAUAUAGGCAAAAUAUCUUUGUACAAUUGUAUUUAAUUAUUGAAUUUAAUGUAUCUGUAUUGCCUGCAAGUAGGUAC